rnacentral:rRNA from 1 species
AGUAACGCGUGGGUAACCUGCCUCAUACAGGGGAAUAGCAGCUGGAAACGGCUGAUAAAACCGCAUAAGCGCACAGUGCCGCAUGGCACAGUGUGAAAAACUCCGGUGGUAUGAGAUGGACCCGCGUCUGAUUAGCUGGUUGGCGGGGUAACGGCCCACCAAGGCGACGAUGCGUAGCCGACCUGAGAGGGUGACCGGCCACAUUGGGACUGAGACACGGCCCAA